UACGAAGGGGGCUAGCGUUGCUCGGAAUGACUGGGCGUAAAGGGCGCGUAGGCGGAUUGCUUUGUCGGGCGUGAAAUUCCAGGGCUUAACCUUGGGGCUGCGUUCGAGACGGGUGAUCUUGAGUUCGGAAGAGGGUCGUGGAAUUCCCAGUGUAGAGGUGAAAUUCGUAGAUAUUGGGAAGAACACCGGUGGCGAAGGCGGCGACCUGGUCCGGGACUGACGCUGAGGCGCGAAAGCGUGGGGAGCAAACAGG
rnacentral:rRNA from 1 species